rnacentral:lncRNA from 1 species
UCAGGCUUUACUCCGAUUUUGUGGGCUUGCGGCAAACCUCACUGGCGCCAGCACCCGCGCCGGGCCGUUGGAGGUGGCGGCCAUGGGGACUGCUGUGCUGCGCAAGCUGCAGCUGGUGCUCCUGCUGGGCGCUUGGAAGGCGCUUGGAGAUGCCGCGCGGUGCCGCGUCACCCUUGUUCUGUCCGCGCGCUGCGCGAGCACAGUCUCACCCUAAACACACGUCUGGGCCAGCUGCGCGCGCAACUGCAGCAGGAGGCGGGGGCGGAGCCUGAUCUGGGGGCGGAGCCU